AGUGAACGCUGGCGGUAGGCCUAACACAUGCAAGUCGAACGGCAGCACAGUAAGAGCUUGCUCUUACGGGUGGCGAGUGGCGGACGGGUGAGGAAUACAUCGGAAUCUACUUUUUCGUGGGGGAUAACGUAGGGAAACUUACGCUAAUACCGCAUACGACCUACGGGUAAAAGCAGGGGAUCUUCGGACCUUGCGCGAUUGAAUGAGCCGAUGUCAGAUUAGCUAGUUGGCGGGGUAAAGGCCCACCAAGGCGACGAUCCGUAGCUGGUCUGAGAGGAUGAUCAGCCACACUGGAACUGAGACACGGUCCAGACUCCUACGGGAGGCAGCAGUGGGGAAUAUUGGACAAUGGGCGCAAGCCUGAUCCAGCCAUACCGCGUGGGUGAAGAAGGCCUUCGGGUUGUAAAGCCCUUUUGUUGGGAAAGAAAAGCAGCAGGUUAAUACCCCGCUGUUCUGACGGUACCCAAAGAAUAAGCACCGGCUAACUUCGUG
rnacentral:rRNA from 1 species